AACGAACGCUGGCGGCAGGCUUAACACAUGCAAGUCGAGCGCCCCGCAAGGAGAGCGGCAGACGGGUGAGUAACACGUGGGGAUCUGCCCGAUGGUACGGAAUAACUCAGGGAAACUUGUGCUAAUACCGUAUGUGCCCGCAAGGGGAAAGAUUUAUCGCCAUCGGAUGAACCCGCGUCGGAUUAGCUAGUUGGGGGGGUAAAGGCCCACCAAGGCAACGAUCCGUAGCUGGUCUGAGGGGAUGAUCAGCCACACUGGGACUGAGACACGGCCCAGACUCCUACGGGAGGCAGCAGUGGGGAAUAUUGGACAAUGGGCGAAAGCCUGAUCCAGCCAUGCCGCGUGAGUGAUGAAGGCCUUAGGGUUGUAAAGCUCUUUCGCCGACGAAGAUAAUGACGGUAGUCGGAGAAGAAGCCCCGGCUAACUUCGUGCCAGCCGCCGCAGUAA
rnacentral:rRNA from 1 species